GAUGAAGAACGUAGCGAAAUGCGAUACUUGGUGUGAAUUGCAGAAUCCCGUGAACCAUCGAGUCUUUGAACGCAAGUUGCGCCCGAAGCCAUUAGGCCGAGGGCACGCCUGCCUGGGCGUCACACGUCGUUGCCCCCCCCAUCUACUCCUUCGGGAUUGCGGGGGGCGGAUAAUGGCCUCCCGUGCGCCUCGCCGCGCGGUUGGCAUAAAUGCCAAGUCCUCGGCGAUGCACGCCACGACAAUCGGUGGUUGCGAAACCUCGGUUGCCCGUCGUGUGCGGUCGUCGCGCAUCGAGGGCUCGAAAAAAUUGCCGGGUUCCGGCUCGGCUUUCAACGCGACCCCAGGUCAGGCGGGGUUACCCGCUGAAUUUAAGCAUAUCAAUAAGCGGAGGA
rnacentral:misc_RNA from 1 species